CUCGCUGGUAUCUCUGUUUCUCUAAAUUCUCUCAAGGUCGAAGAGUGUCUAACUCUCACGGAAAAGGCGCAAAUAUUGACUAACGCUUCACGUUUUCUCCAUGUACAGGGCGAAUCGGAAAGAAAAGAGGAUGGCAGCCGCUAACUGAGGCUGCUUCUGCAAGAGGACGAAUUGCACAAUGCGGAUGGGAGCCAGGGUUACGAAAA
ensembl:ncRNA F36D4.9 ncRNA